GGAGGAUUACCCAAGUCCGUCUGAAUGGAACGGCCUUGAAAUCCGUCUGGCGUGUUGAAGCGUGCGUGGGUUUGAAUCCCACAUCCUCCU
rnacentral:tRNA from 1 species